GACAUCUCAUCUCCAUGGAUGUUUCCGGUAAAAGGAAUGAGGGCACUAAACGUCUCUGGGACUCUGCGGUCACCAUAGCGACCACAGCACUGUCCUUGCCACACAUUUGUAGCACGUUCUUCUUAGUACACAGUAGUGUACUAAGGCUCCCCUCUGCUGUCUCUUCCAUUUGCUCUUCUGCUUUCCUUCCUGAAUGCUGCUUCUUUUUAUGGAAGGGUACAUUGGGCAGCAGGAUCAAAGGAAGUGGAGUCCAUAAAAGGAGAUCUGUUUUCUACAGGCAGCAGGCCAAUGUGUGGACUAAUCCAUCAUACCUGGAGGUUGUCAAGAUCAAACGUCAAGUGUCUUCUUUGUCAGUAUUUGAAAGCAGUGAUGUUUUAUACCAAGGUGAAUCAUUAUUCUCUACAACAGAUUAA
rnacentral:lncRNA from 1 species